rnacentral:rRNA from 1 species
UACUUAAACAACCAGGAGGUUGGCUUAGAAGCAGCCAUCCUUUAAAGAAAGCGUAAUAGCUCACUGGUCUAGUGAUUUUGCGCGGAAAAUAUAACGGGGCUAAAGUAAGUACCGAAGCUGUAGACUUGCACACAACUUAGAUUAUUUAAGUUUAGAAUAUUAAGAAACUAAGUUAUAUGUUUUAGUUAUAUUUUUACUGAUUUUUAUAGGGUAAAGAUAGAAAUAAAACUUAGUAAAAUCAGUAAAAAUAUUCUUAGGCUAAAGUUAAGUAGUUUAAGUUGUGUGCAAGUGGUAGGAGAGCGUUCUAUUUGCGUCGAAGGUAUACCGGUAAGGAGUGCUGGAGCGAAUAGAAGUGAGCAUGCAGGCAUGAGUAGCGAUAAUUAAUGUGAGAAUCAUUAACGCCGUAAACCCAAGGUUUCCUACGCGAUGCUCGUCAUCGUAGGGUUAGUCGGGUCCUAAGUCGAGUCCGAAAGGGGUAGACGAUGGCAAAUUGGUUAAUAUUCCAAUACCAACAUUAGUGUGCGAUGGAAGGACGCUUAGGGCUAAGGGGGCUAGCGGAUGGAAGUGCUAGUCUAAGGUCGUAGGAGGUUAUACAGGCAAAUCCGUAUAACAAUACUCCGAGAACUGAAAGGCUUUUUGAAGUCUUCGGAUGGAUAGAAGAACCCCUGAUGCCGUCGAGCCAAGAAAAGUUUCUAAGUUUAGCUAAUGUUGCCCGUACCGUAAACCGACACAGGUGGGUGGGAUGAGUAUUCUAAGGCGCGUGGAAGAACUCUCUUUAAGGAACUCUGCAAAAUAGCACCGUAUCUUCGGUAUAAGGUGUGGUUAGCUUUGUAUUAGGAUUUACUCCGAAAGCAAGGAAACUUACAACAAAGAGUCCCUCCCGACUGUUUACCAAAAACACAGCACUCUGCUAACUCGUAAGAGGAUGUAUAGGGUGUGACGCCUGCCCGGUGCUCGAAGGUUAAUUGAUGGGGUUAGCAUUAGCGAAGCUCUUGAUCGAAGCCCGAGUAAACGGCGGCCGUAACUAUAACGGUCCUAAGGUAGCGAAAUUCCUUGUCGGUUAAAUACCGACCUGCAUGAAUGGCGUAACGAGAUGGGAGCUGUCUCAAAGAGGGAUCCAGUGAAAUUGUAGUGGAGGUGAAAAUUCCUCCUACCCGCGGCAAGACGGAAAGACCCCGUGGACCUUUACUACAGCUUGACACUGCUACUUGGAUAAGAAUGUGCAGGAUAGGUGGGAGGCUUUGAGUAUAUGACGCCAGUUGUAUAUGAGCCAUUGUUGAGAUACCACUCUUUCUUAUUUGGGUAGCUAACCAGCUUGAGUUAUCCUCAAGUGGGACAAUGUCUGGUGGGUAGUUUGACUGGGGCGGUCGCCUCCCAAAUAAUAACGGAGGCUUACAAAGGUUGGCUCAGAACGGUUGGAAAUCGUUCGUAGAGUAUAAAGGUAUAAGCCAGCUUAACUGCAAGACAUACAAGUCAAGCAGAGACGAAAGUCGGUCUUAGUGAUCCGGUGGUUCUGUGUGGAAGGGCCAUCGCUCAAAGGAUAAAAGGUACCCCGGGGAUAACAGGCUGAUCUCCCCCAAGAGCUCACAUCGACGGGGAGGUUUGGCACCUCGAUGUCGGCUCAUCGCAUCCUGGGGCUGGAGCAGGUCCCAAGGGUAUGGCUGUUCGCCAUUUAAAGCGGUACGCGAGCUGGGUUCAGAACGUCGUGAGACAGUUCGGUCCCUAUCUGCCGUGGGCGUAAGAAGAUUGAAGAGAUUUGACCCUAGUACGAGAGGACCGGGUUGAACAAACCACUGGUGUAGCUGUUGUUCUGCCAAGAGCAUCGCAGCGUAGCUAAGUUUGGAAAGGAUAAACGCUGAAAGCAUCUAAGCGUGAAGCCAACUCUAAGAUGAAUCUUCUCUAAGCUCUCUAGAAGACUACUAGUUUGAUAGGCUGGGUGUGUAAUGGAUGAAAGUCCUUUAGCUGACCAGUACUAAUAGAGCGUUUGGCUUAUCUUUAAUAAAGCAU